CACGUAGGGUGCGAGCGUUGUCCGGAAUUAUUGGGCGUAAAGAGCUCGUAGGCGGUGUGUCGCGUCUGCCGUGAAAACCUGCAGCUUAACUGUGGGCUUGCGGUCGAUACGGGCAUCACUGGAGUUCGGCAGGGGAGACUGGAAUUCCUGGUGCAGCGGUGAAAUGCGCAGAUAUCAGGAGGAACACCGGUGGCGAAGGCGGGUCUCUGGGCCGAUACUGACGCUGAGGAGCGAAAGCGUGGGGAGCGAACAGG
rnacentral:rRNA from 1 species